UAGGGUGAGUGUGGCUGGCGGGCGGGCUGAACUGAGGCGGGCCGGGGACGCGUUCCGAAUUGCGUUCCCUCCGUGCCUGCAGAGCCCCUCGAGCCCUUCGUGGCGGCUGCAUAUAAAAGGGCACACUGCUUAUCUUGCCGAGAGGACUCCGUAGGACGUUUUCUCCGGGAGACAGAGCUUCGACACCCGGGGUGUCUGGAAACGUGUGUCCUGGGAUCUCGGAGGGGAAAUGGGGAUAACUGGGGUAGACCGGAGAUAAGCGAAGCCUGAGGGGGAAGACAAUUUUAGAGACCGUGGUUCUCGAAUCCUACCCGUGUCUCGGGUUGGGGGGUGGGGGGAUUAUCCGUGAUGAGGAAGAAAGGAAAUCCUUAAAUGGAGGCCUUUACGGAAAAGCGUUUGAGGAUUCCACAAGCAUCGGGUCUUAAUGUGGAAAUGAGUUCCCAGCAGUUUCCUCGGUUAGGAACCCCUUCCCCUGGGCUUAGCCAGCCACCUUCACAGAUUGCAAGCAGUGGUUCCGCAGGACUGAUAAACCAAGUUGCCACAGGUAAGAUAAGUCACAGCUCUUUUGUAUUGCUUACUGUUUGAAGAAUGUCACUAUCUUCAAAUUAGCAAACUCCUUUUCAUAAUUACUGUCUUAUCGACUUUGAGGAAAGGAUGUGUCAAUACACUUAAAAUAAGGCAUUUCCCUCUCUUUUUUAAAAAAUCAUUUAUGUAUGCUAGGCUAAGUGCAACUUUAGUAAACCAUACUUGUAAGAACCAUUUUUAAAAGUAUUUGUAUGUUAGAUUUAAUUCUCUCUUGGGGUAUAGGUAUGGUGGUGGUGCCCUGAGAAAACCCAGCAGUGAAUGUGAAGAAGUUCUGCUUCUAAGGACCUUCUUAGGACCUUAAGAUUAGGAAAAGAGAGGCAGAGUAUGUGAGAGAGAGUUUUUAAGAGUGUGUUUUUGAGGUCAUGUGUGCUUUGAAAGGUGAGAGGUCAGCCUCAAAUGCGCUUCCUAGGAACUGUCCUUGGUUUUUGAUACAGGGUGGCUCACUGGGACUGGAACUGAGGAAGCUAGGCUGACGAGCACACGAUUGAAUGAGCUGCUGCCCCGGCCCUUGAAAAAGGGUUGCAAAGUAUUUAUAUACUUGGUUUUUAUUUGUAGCAUAUCUUUUGAGUGCUAUAGACUGUGAUUCUCAGUGGUGGGUUGGGCGAUAUUCUAUACUAAUUGGCAAUGUCUAGAGACAGUUGUGAUUGUCACAACUGAAGUACUGGACAUCCUAAAUGCACUAGAUAAACCCCUUCCACCCUCCAAGACUUCUCAAAGCCAGUGAGCAGUUUUCAGACUUUGUCUCCACUCUGUAUUAAGUAUAUAUUGCGAGCUGAAGUGAAGUCACCUUUUCCCCAUCUGUUUCUUGUUUCCUGGUGGCAAGUGCUGCUUUUCACUCACUGCUCAAGCUAAAGGCUGAGGUGUCUCUAGUUGUCAUUGUAUUCUGUCUCUCACUCCACCCCACCACCUUGGCUCACAAUGUAGCUCAGGCUGGCCUCAAGACAGUUCGGGGUCACCUUUGUCCCACCAUGCCUGGCUGGCUUUAUCCACCAGCAAGCUUUUGGGCUCAUUCCUGCUGCUUUGACUAGUUCGUGCUAAUUUAGUUUUUAACUACAGAUUUGUUUGUUACUGUAAGCUACUCUAUGCCUGCUGUGGGACAGUGUGUACUGUUUUUUCUGUGUAAAGUAUUUGUAGUUCUCAGGAUUUCUCCCAUUUUCCCUGUGGCACAGCCUUUCUUCCUGUCCAGGUUUUUCUUCAUUGAGGAUUCAUCCUAGCUGUCAUUUUCUGGAUAUCUGUGCUGACUCUUAUCUUCUACCAUAUUACAGAUCCUGUGUCUCAUGAAGCUAAUGGAUAGCACAUGUUGUAGUCAAUUUCUUGUACAGCCAUCUAAAGUUCUUUAUUUCUUGUUACACAUACUGAACCCCACCUGUAAUCAUAGCACUUGGGUAGUUGAAAAAAGCUCACCAGUUUAAAGAAGUGUAGCUGAAGUUUGGCUACCAAGCAAGUUCAAGGCCAUGGGUUAUGUGAGUGAGACACUCCUUCCCCAAAAAACUUCUGAAAAUAUUUUGCCUUUGGCAAAUGUUCACAAUGGUAAUUUUAAAAGAUGGAGAUAAGAAUAUUGGUUUUUAAAGUGAAGAAAUGAGAGUUUCUUAUGGAAAAAAGAAAGGGAGAUCGGCCUGUGGAGCUUUGCAGUAGGAGUCUUGAUUAGCAUCAAGCCUAAUGACUUCUUUCCUAGACAGUUUUCAUAGUUUGCUCCACGCUCCUCUACUUGCCAGAGUUUAAGACCCAGCUCAAAUCUUAAUGGUGUUUUGAAAUUUUUCAUGAAAAAAAUUACCUCUUCAUUUUUCACAUCAGUAUUUUUGUCUUAGCUUUUCUUUUAUUUUCUUAAAUAAAUCUAAUUUAUUCUCCAAAAAAAUGUGAAGUCUAAGACGAUCCAGUCCAACAUGAUGUAAGAGCUACAUGAUCAUCAGAAAUGCAACCCCCUUCUUUCUGUAGAAGCUGCCAAUGCAACUCACUUACCAGAGUGCUCGCUGAGCAGACUGGUGCUCUGGGUUCCAUCCCUAGCACCACAUAAUGGGAUGUGGUGGUACAUGCUUGUAACAACUCUUAGAAAGCAGGGGCAAGAAGAUCUGGAGUCCAAGAUCAUCCUUGGGUACCCAGCAUCUUCUGGGCUGCCCUGAAGUACAUAAGACCUUAGCACAAUGAAAGAGGAGGCUGGAGGAAGAGAAGAGGGUUUCACCUAAGUAAUCCCGUAUCUUUGUUUCCCAGGGAUAAUUUGGGGUCCUAAGCAUGCCAGGAAUUAAAGUAUAUAUUCAAAGUAGAAAUCCUAGUGCUUCGAGAUUCUCUUUUGUUGAAAACAAAUGGAAGCAUGGUUGGGGAUGUAGCUCAGUGGCAUAGUGCUUAUCUUGAAUUUCAGAUCUCUGUGAGUUCAAGGCCAGCCUACUCUACAUAGCAAGUCCUAGGCUAGCCAAGACUAUAUAGUAAGACCCUGUCUCAACAAAAACAGAGGGGGGUGGGGUUAAAAUGUGAAGUUGAAGCAAAGACGUUGAUGAGAGAGGUCAGGUAACUAGGUAACUAGGUAAGUGAAAGAUCCUGAUGGUCACAGGCUAAAAGACUUGAUAUUUUCAGCACCGUAGUUUCUUCCCUAAGUAAUAAAUAUAUGCAAAGAAAUCAUAUUUGUAGAGUUUUGACAGCCCAAUUCUAAAAUUUAUUUUAAAAUCCAAAGAGUUUAAGGAUUUCUAAAGUAAUUAUGACCCCAGAGAAAGGAAAAUCAUUAGUACCUUAUUUUACAACUUAUCACAAAUAUUCGUAAUCAAGGUGGUGUGGGUACUGGCAUAAUAUAAAUGAAUAGAAUAAAGUAAAGUGUCCUGAAUCAGCUUGCAUUCAUAGAUAGAUGGAUGACCAGGCUUUUGUUUUGUUUUGUUUUAGCAGAAGUGUAUAAUUAAAUACGGAAAUGAACUUCAGUAAACUAGUAUAGGGGCAGGAAAACAACUUUGUCGGAUUCAUUUGGUGGUUAUUAUUUGGUGGUUUUUUGUUGUUACUUUUCCUGCUCGCCUGGGACCUGGAGAUGAAGCCCGGGCCAUCACACUUGCACAGCAAGUACUUUUACCCACAUUGCUGUCUUGUUAGCCCCAAAUGCCAGAAUAUGGGGGGUGGGGGGGAGACCUUGAUCAUUACUUUCCUCUUAGGUAAAAAAAUUAAUUCAAGAAUACCAUGAAACUAAAUAUAAAAGUUUUAAUUUCUAAGAGAAAACAUAAAAGAAAUCAUUUGUAACUUCAGUAAGCAAAAGUUUUUCAAGUC
rnacentral:lncRNA from 1 species